AUUGAACGCUGGCGGCAGGCCUAACACAUGCAAGUCGAACGAGUGGCGGACGGGUGAGUAAUGUCUGGGAAACUGCCCGAUGGAGGGGGAUAACUACUGGAAACGGUAGCUAAUACCGCAUACCAUCGGAUGUGCCCAGAUGGGAUUAGCUUGUAGGUGAGGUAACGGCUCACCUAGGCGACGAUCCCUAGCUGGUCUGAGAGAAUGACCAGGAACACAGGAACUGAGACACGGUCCAGACUCCUACGGGAGGCAGCAGUAGGGAAUCUUCCGCAAUGGGCGAAAGCCUGAUCCAGCCAUGCCGCGUGUGUGAAGAAGGUCUUCGGAUUGUAAAGCACUUUAAGUUGGGAGGCGUUACCAACAGAAUAAGCACCGGCUAACUUCGUGCCAGCAGCCGCGGUAAUUC
rnacentral:rRNA from 1 species